AUUGAACGCUGGCGGCAGGCCUAACACAUGCAAGUCGCACGAGUGGCGGACGGGUGAGUAAUGUCUGGGAAACUGCCUGAUGGAGGGGGAUAACUACUGGAAACGGUAGCUAAUACCGCAUACCAUCGGAUGUGCCCAUAUGGGAUUAGCUUGUAGGUGGGGUAAAGGCUCACCUAGGCGACGAUCCCUAGCUGGUCUGAGAGGAUGACCAGCCACACUGGAACUGAGACACGGUCCAGACUCCUACGGGAGGCAGCAGUGGGGAAUAUUGGACAAUGGGCGCAAGCCUGAUGCAGCCAUGCCGCGUGUGUGAAGAAGGCCUUCGGAUUGUAAAGUACUUUAAGCGGGGAGGCGUUACCAGCAGAAGAAGCACCGGCUAACUUCGUGCCAGCAGCCGCGGUAAUUC
rnacentral:rRNA from 1 species